rnacentral:other from 1 species
UUUUUCCUGCGGUGUUCGAUAAAUGCGACUAAUACUAACCCUAUGACAAAUUAAAGGGAGUCCCACUUCUUCAGCGGAUUGCAGACCUCCCGCUUUGGCGGACGAAGGGAGCGUGAAACUGCGGAGAGGACACCCACCUGCUGAAAGCAGGUUACUAUUAUCGCAUCCGGCACAGCGGGGCAAAA